UUCGCCCUUGUGCCAGCAGCCGCGGUAAAACGUAGGAGACGAGCGUUAUCCGGAUUUACUGGGCGUAAAGAGCGUGUAGGAGGCAAUACAAGUUGGAUGUAAAAGCUCUCGGCUAAACUGAGAGAGGACGUUCAAGACUGUAGAGCUAGAGGAAGGCAGAGGUAGAUGGAACUCCGGGAGUAGUGGUGAAAUGCGUAGAUAUCCGGAAGAACACCAGAGGCGAAAGCGAUCUACUGGGCCUUAACAGACACUGAGACGCGAAAGCCAGGGUAGCAAACGGGAUUAGAGACCCCGGUAGUCCUGGCCGUAAACGAUGUAGACUAGGCGCUUGUCGGGCAAAACCGGUGAGUGUCGAAGCGAACGCGAUAAGUCUACCGCCUGGGGACUACGGCCGCAAGGUUAAAACUCAAAGGAAUUGACGGGUCCCCGCACAAGCAGCGGAGCGUGUGGUUUAAUUCGAUGCUACACGAAGAACCUUACCUGGGUUUGACAUAGAGGUAGUAGGGAAGCGAAAGCGGACCGACCCUUCGGGGAGCCUCUACAGGUGUUGCAUGGCUGUCGUCAGCUCGUGUCGUGAGAUGUUCGGUUAAGUCCGCUAACGAGCGCAACCCUCGCUGUGUGUUACAAGUGUCACACGGUACUGCCGAUAUUAAGUCGGAGGAAGGUGGGGGAUGACGUCAAGUCAGCAUGACCUUUAUAUCCAGGGCUACACACACGCUACAAUGGCCAGUACAAUGGGUUGCCAAGCCGCGAGGCGGAGCCAUCCUAAAAAGCUGGCCUCAGUUCAGAUUGCAGUCUGCAACUCGACUGCAUGAAGUUGGAGUUGCUAGUAACCGCAGUCAGCAAUACUGCGGUGAAUACGUCCCGGGGAUUGUACACACCG
rnacentral:rRNA from 1 species